ACUGGAUGCUCAAAAGUGCAUUUGGCUCUUCUGAGAUUCAAGUAGAGCCUUUAAAAUUAACAUAAAUGAUUAUAGGGCCAGGCAUGGUGGCUCAUGCCUGUAAUCCCA